AGUGAACGCUGGCGGUAUGCCUAACACAUGCAAGUCGAACGGCAGCACAGUAAGAUCUUGCUCUUACGGGUGGCGAGUGGCGGACGGGUGAGGAAUACAUCGGAAUCUACUUUUUCGUGGGGGAUAACGUAGGGAAACUUACGCUAAUACCGCAUACGACCUACGGGUGAAAGCAGGGGAUCUUCGGACCUUUCGUGAUUGAAUGAGCCGAUGUCGGAUUAGCUAGUUGGUGAGGUAAAGGCCCACCAAGGCGACGAUCCGUAGCCGACCUGAGAGGAGGAUCGGCCACACUGGAACUGAGACACGGUCCAGACUCCUACGGGAGGCAGCAGUAGGGAAUCGUCCGCAAUGGGCGAAAGCCUGACGGAGCAACGCCGCGUGAGUGAUGAAGGUCUUCGGAUCGUAAAACUCUGUUAUUAGGGAAGAACAAAUGUGUAAGUAACUAUGCACGUCUUGACGGGACCUAAUCAGAAAGCCACGGCUAACUACGUG
rnacentral:rRNA from 1 species